rnacentral:lncRNA from 1 species
AGAGUUGUGGUUGAUGGUGUUUUGAGAGGGAUGCAGAGCAAGCACCCAGAGGAUUUUUGGAUUCCUGGGCACCAUGGACUCCCUCCUCCACGACGCCUCCUAUCAGGCAGAGACACAUGUGUCCCUUCAGGAUUUGGAGGUGGAUUGGAAGCCCCGUUGGGUGGCAUGGUUUUUCGAAUGUUUGAAGCAUUCCCUGGGUUUCAGCGUGCCUUUUGUUCUGCUAGAGGCAGGCGCAGAGACACACUCAGCAUUGGGAUUGUAUGGUUAACCAACCAUGUUCAAGCCUCUGACCGUCAAGGGUUCAGUGUGGAUGGGGGUGUGGAAAUCAGCCCAAAUACCCUGGACCAUCACGAUCGAGGGAAAUCCAGAACAAGAACCUAUAAGAACGAAUGCGGGACCCAGCAAUCGCACUCUUGGGCUAUAUCUGGAUGCAUCGUCUUUCAACAAGGUCUUCAUACCAGGUGCAUCGUGAGAACAAAAGCAGCUCACAUGGAAAGAAAAAGAAUUUCGAGAUCUUAGAAGAGAAGAGAAGAAGCACAGGGAAUAUUGCGGCUACUCACCAAAAUGUCACCUCUGUACCACCUUCCAGGGACAACAUGCAGGCACUUUAUCCGGUUCCCAAAGCCCAGGUAAGGAUGGGGUUUCAUAAUUACCAGCUCAACAACAGACACAAACGAACACCGAAAAAAAAAAAAUCAAUGCAUCAAUAAAUAAACCCAAGCACUUGAUUGAGAAAAGGGCAACAGACCUGACUAGACAUUUUCCUAAACCAGAUACACAGGGGUAACAAGCACUGGAAAAAAAUGAUCUCCAUCUCUCAAUCUGAGAGGAAUGCAAAUCACAACGACCCUGAGGUACCACCUCACACCUGUCCGAAUGGUCAUGAUUAAUAAGUCAGGAAAUAGCAAAUCCUGGAGAGGGUGUGGAGAAGAGGGUGCCCGCCUACAGUGGGAGUGGCUAUGCAAAUUGGUACCAAAACAAUGGACAACAGGAUCCAUGCAAAUCCUAAAAAUCCACUAGAAAGGAUGCAUGCCCCAGCAACCCCACCCUUGUGACUAUAUCUGGACACAUAUUCUUUUCAAAAGAUACUUGCCCUGCUCUGUCCCUUGCAGCAAUAUUCACAAUAGCCAAGACAAGGAAACAAACUCAAUGUCCAUCGACAGAUGAACGGAUUAAGAAGAUGUUGUUCAAAGAUUCAGUGGAAUACUACGAUGCAUCCAUACAAAAAGCCCAAAAAAUGACAAUCUCAGCAACAUAGAUGUCUCCAGAAACAUCCUGUGUGAAGUAAGUCAGAAAAUGAAAGACAAUACCAUAGCAUUCCCUUGGUUCUGGAAUCUAUCAAAAGGCACGAAUGAACCUGUCUCCCAAAAAGAAAAUCUUGGACUGGUAAAGAGAUUGUGGUUGCCAGAUUGGGGGUGGUGGUGGAUGUAUGUUGGCAUGGAUUUAGGGGGUUAAUGGAUGCAAACUCUAAUACUUGGAGAGGGUUAGCAAUGGGAUCCUGCUCUACAACACAGGAAACUAUCUGGACUUCUUUUUUUGGAACUAGAUGAAAGAUAAUGUGAAAAAAAUGAUAUCUAUAUACAAGUACAAAUGGAUCACAUUGCUGUUAAAGAGAAAUUGAGAGAGUACUAUCAAUCAGGUAGAGUGGAAAUAAAAAAGGAUAAAAGAAGACAUUACAGGCUCAAUGUUCACCAGAGAAGAUGUAGGGUCUAGCCUCCUGCACCUCGAGAAAAAAAGCAGGCAACCUGACUCUGUCGAACUUGUCAAUAUUUCUUAGCAAUGGGGCACCCGACCAGACGUAAUGACCUAGGGUGUAUGAAUUGAGUUAUACUGUAACAUCUUUAUUUAUUUCGAUUCACCUGUUUAUUUUUCUGCACACAGGUGUGGCAGGCAGAUACCAUCUGGCCAGGUACUGAAUCCACCUCACUGCUUCUUUUAGCCCAGGCCCCUACUGAAACCCUCUGUCACCAGAGGUAGAGGGUCAGGAGGUCCUUUAUUUCUGCUAUCGAUUCCCUUAGCCACUCUGGAGGAAUAUAUGGAUGUAUGUAUUGACCUCAUUAUCAAUGAAGCUCAUUUGUUCAAUAUCUCUCUUUAUGUAUAAAUUUAUUUGGGUGCCACUGCGACUUGGGAUGUUGUCUGGCCAGGGUUUAAUCUCCCAACACAGCUCUUACCACAGCCACAGCAGUGACAGAGAGAGACUCUUAAGCCCAGCAACCACGAGGGAACUCCCUGAGAGCGUGCUUGGUGAUACCAAUCCACCCUGCUUAAUUCAUCACACCUGGCUUUGGUCGGGCCUCCAAUGCCGUGGCGCGGUAGUGAAAACAGAGGAUCAUCGCAAAAGGCAAGAAGGAAAUUUCCCUAGGUCUCUUGAGCAAGAAAAGCACAGGGAUUAGCACAGCUGCCCACCAUCAUGCUGCCCAAGUCUCCCCAUUCUUUUGUCAGCACCAGCCUCUCUCUCCACAUCCCUACAGCCCUGACAACCAGGGGCUUCAACAUGGCCAUCUCACCUUUCAACACAGAUGCUGUGUGGGUCUCGGCUCCUGCCUCUGGAGGAACACAAGGCAUUUGGAAACCCAGUGAAUCCCUUCAGCAUUCCAAACACACUGCCACCCAACCAGGCUGCCCAGCCACAUCCAAUGCUGAAGGGACACCUGUGUCCUCUGCCUGACAUGAGGCAUCUUAGAGUAGAGAUUCCCAGGUGCCCAGAAAAAGAAAAAACCCAAACCUCCUGGUGCUUCCUGUGAGUUCUGCCCAACACAACAUCCACCCCACCUGAGAGCCUGCCUCUGCUGCCCAGAGCGGCACCUGGGUCCAGAAGGUCCUCUGGCGCCGUCUUGUGGCCAUCUGCUCUAACAGCAACCCUCAGGGUGGCCUCCUCUCUCUAGCUCAGCAGCCCCCUGGGGGCUGCAUUGGCUCUGGGCAAUAUGCUGGGUGGAUUCUCUUCCUCCAUUUUCUUGAAAUACCAAGAACUUCCCUUCCAAGUGGGCUAUUUCUCUCUCGAAGGCUUUCAGAGCCCUGAGAUCAACCUACGCCCAAACCACUCCCAUCACUCAUCUCCGAACCAUUGUGUCAUGACAGCAUUCUUCUUUUUGAGAUAUGCCAGCACUUAUGUACUUAUGAAGAUAGGUGUGUAUAUAUGGAACCAUGGAUUUUUUUCUUAAUUUUCCAACUGUUGUUCCUUCACUCAUACAAUAAAGCCUUGAUUCUUU